AUGAGAUGCUACUGACCUGAAAAGCCCACACUUAACCAUUUUUAAAUGGACAUUUUUAUGACAGACAUUUGUCCCAAUGACUCACACCAAUAUUGCCGCUAUUCAGCAAAGUUUUGGGUCUUCAUAGCACAACAAUGGCUUCUCCUCAGUCCAUUUGGGGUUCCACAGAACUACAUAAUCCCAGCUGAGAAAGAUUACAACUUCUACAACCAUUUGAACUGCUGCUUGUCAUUUAGCCCACAGGAAGCUUCCCUCAUCAGACUAGGCAGUAUGUAGCUGCCAACAGGAUCAGCAGUCUAAAAAGGUAAGAGAUUGAGAUGUGUACACUCAAAGGUAUAGUAGUUGCCUGAGAAGUACAGUGCUCUCUC